GACGCCAUUUUCGGCGGCGGGAGCAGCGGAGCCGGAGCUGGCUGGGCGGCGGCUGCGAGGAGGAGCCGCGGGACACAGCGCGCGUGGGCGGCCGAGGAUGCUGCGGGGCGGCCGCGCCGGCGCCCCUCGCUUGUGACCGCGGCGCCGCACCUGAGGCGGCGAGGCGACAGCCCCGGCGGUCCCGCUCGGCGCACGCGCCCGCGGCCUCCCGGUGCUGACAGCGCGAGCGCGCGGCCCCGUGGGAGCAGCACGAAUGUAUGACAACAUGUCCACAAUGGUGUACAUAAAGGAAGACAAGUUGGAGAAGCUUACACAGGAUGAAAUUAUUUCUAAGACAAAGCAAGUAAUUCAGGGCCUGGAGGCUCUGAAGAAUGAGCACAAUUCCAUUUUACAAAGUUUACUGGAGACACUGAAGUGUUUGAAGAAAGAUGACGAAAGUAAUCUGGUGGAAGAGAAAUCAAACAUGAUCCGAAAGUCACUGGAAAUGUUGGAGCUUGGCCUGAGCGAGGCACAGGUUAUGAUGGCUCUGUCAAAUCACCUGAAUGCCGUCGAGUCGGAGAAGCAGAAGCUGCGGGCACAGGUUCGUCGUCUGUGCCAGGAGAAUCAGUGGCUGCGGGAUGAAUUGGCCAACACGCAGCAGAAAUUGCAGAAGAGUGAGCAGUCUGUGGCUCAACUGGAGGAAGAAAAGAAGCAUCUGGAAUUCAUGAAUCAGCUAAAAAAAUACGAUGAUGACAUUUCUCCAUCAGAGGACAAAGACACUGAUUCCACCAAAGAACCUCUGGAUGACCUCUUCCCAAAUGACGACGACGACCCUGGUCAAGGAAUGCAGCAGCAGCAGAGCAGUGCAGCGGCGGCCGCCCAGCAGGGUGGCUACGAGAUCCCCGCGCGGCUGCGCACCCUGCACAACCUGGUCAUCCAGUACGCCUCGCAGGGGCGCUACGAGGUCGCCGUGCCCCUCUGCAAGCAGGCCCUGGAGGACCUGGAGAAGACCUCUGGCCAUGACCACCCGGACGUGGCCACCAUGCUGAACAUCUUGGCCUUGGUGUACAGAGACCAGAAUAAAUACAAAGAUGCAGCUAAUCUACUGAAUGAUGCCUUGGCCAUCCGUGAAAAAACUUUGGGCAAAGAUCAUCCUGCGGUGGCAGCAACUCUGAAUAACCUCGCAGUGCUUUACGGCAAAAGAGGAAAGUACAAAGAAGCUGAGCCGCUGUGUAAAAGAGCUCUGGAGAUCAGAGAAAAGGUUUUGGGAAAGGAUCACCCCGAUGUUGCCAAGCAGUUAAAUAACUUGGCCUUACUGUGCCAGAACCAGGGCAAGUACGAAGAAGUAGAAUAUUAUUAUCAAAGAGCCCUUGAGAUCUACCAAACCAAACUGGGGCCUGAUGACCCCAACGUGGCCAAAACGAAAAAUAACCUGGCGUCCUGCUAUCUGAAGCAAGGAAAAUUCAAGCAAGCAGAAACGCUGUACAAAGAGAUUCUCACUCGCGCACAUGAAAGGGAGUUUGGUUCUGUAGAUGAUGAAAAUAAACCCAUUUGGAUGCAUGCUGAGGAAAGAGAAGAAUGCAAAGGAAAGCAAAAGGAUGGGACUUCUUUUGGAGAGUAUGGUGGCUGGUACAAAGCCUGCAAAGUUGACAGUCCAACUGUUACAACUACUUUAAAAAACCUUGGGGCACUUUACAGACGUCAAGGCAAAUUUGAAGCUGCAGAAACAUUGGAAGAAGCAGCCAUGAGGUCACGUAAACAGGGUCUUGACAAUGCUCACAAACAGAGAGUAGCUGAAGUGCUGAAUGACCCUGAGAACAUGGAGAAGCGGAGAAGCCGCGAGAGCCUCAGCGUGGAUGUGGUCAAGUACGAGAGCGGCCCUGACGGAGGGGAGGAAGUGAGUAUGAGCGUAGAGUGGAACGGGGAUGGCACUGGAUCUUUAAAACGCAGUGGUUCCUUUAGCAAACUCCGGGCUUCAAUUAGACGCAGCAGUGAGAAGCUGGUUAGGAAGCUGAAGGGAGGAGGUUCACGAGACAGUGAGCCAAAGGACCCUGGCAUGAAGCGUGCCAGUUCUCUGACUGUCCUUAACGUGGGUGGCACGGCGGCCGCAGACCAUUUCCAAGUAAGGAGCCCUGCCCCACUUACACGCUUUACAUGUUGGCUGGACCUUCCUCACCACUGCUGCCCUUUGAGCAGAGCCUGUGGGGACUGCCCCACUUACACCCUUUACAUGUUGGCUGGCCUUUCCCCACCGCUGCUACCCUUUCAGCAGAGCCUGUGGGCAUUUUAGUGUUCCUGAUUCAGGACACAUAGACACCAUAAAUGACACUUUCAUAGUCGGCAUGAACUUAACCAUCUGAAUUAUGGGAAUGUUGUGAACAUUCUCAGUGUACGAAUUAAUGAUCUUUACAAAUACGUUGAUUGACAAUUAAAAAUUAAAUAUUCUGAUGAAGUAAUAUCAAAACUUGGCCAGUUGUUAAUUUGUAUUAUUUGUAUGAUUUUAGCUUCUAGUAGUUUAUAACUAAUAUAAUGUCUAGCUAAGCUGUUCAGUGUUUUAAAACUAUUCAGAACUUCACUAAGUACGGUCACUUUGACAAAUAGUCUUUAGCACUUUGUCACCUGUCCAAGUCUCGCACAGACCGGUCACCUUUGCACUUCAAACUGUUGGCAUCCUGUUCUCCAUUACAAAUGGCCUUUUUAUUUUCCAUGUGUGACUGUUGGGUGCGCCCAGGCCUCUGGCCCCUUCUGUGGCCUGGCUGCUGUCCACCAGGACCAGGUGUCCUGGUCCCCACACCUGUUGGUGCAGCAGCUCUCCCAGUCAACUCAGUCCCACCGGUAAACUAUUGGACGCACAGGGACGGUGACGGGCCGGCAGGAGUGCUGGCCUUCCCCCUCACCCCCAGCACGCUGCGGGGGGGCGGCUGUUCCCAGGAUGCUGUCAUCGGGCCUCUAGUUUAAAAGCUGCAGGGUGCUGGGAGGAUGCACUCCUGACGAUGACGAUAGAAGAAACUACUUUUGUUUUUAAAAGGUCUGGAGCUAACAGUCCUUUUGCUCCCCUUUCUUGUGUUUUGCACACACACAUCUGAGCAUCAGGACUCUCAUGUGUUGAUGUGAGUUGUGCAGCUAUUGUUAGUGCCGAGACCACUGGAAGCUGGCGUCAUGUGAGGUACUGGUUAAGAAUAAUUUUUCCAUUUGUUUUUUCACGCAGGAACGAAAUAAUUGUUUGGCAGACUCCAGAGCUCUCAGUGCCAGCCACGCCGACCUGGCCCCCACGGGUCGAGGCAGAGCUAGAUUAACCCCCAAGGCUAAUGAGCGCUGAGACCCUCAAAGCUUGGCCAGGCCCCUCCCCCAUGCAGGGCGGCCCUGGGGUCGCCUCCUUUGCUGGAUGGUGACCUCCACCACCUGCUGGAGGUUUGCCCCGAAUUCUGUUAGGCGGUCUGCAGCCCUAGUGCCCGAGAGCUGCCAAAGCCCGGCGGCGGGACCCGGCCAGGUAUGGAGCUGGCUCAGCGCACUCGGGGUCGGCCGCUGCUCAUGGACACCAGCCCCAGCACCGAAACCUGCUUGCAAUUGUAAUACUGUGUUAAGGCUGUUCAUUAAGACUGGAACCUUAAACUACAUCCUUUGAGACUAGGAAUCCAGUGACCUGUGGCAGCGAUGCUGGGAUUAGGGAGCGGGGGAGAUGGGGUAGCUGCGGGGAGGCCUGCACCCCCUCCUGGUCUGCAUCUCAGCCCCUUUGGAGCCCUCUUCCCUCCUCCAGGCCUCUGUACACUAGCACACGGAGAUGCAUGUGUUCCUUUUAAAAAGCUUUUCUUUGUAGCGUUAAGUAACACAGGGUGGGUUCUGACAGAUGCAUCUUAUUUUAUUUUUUUAAUUUAUUUUUGGCUGCAUUGGGUCUUUGUUGCCGUGCACGGGCUUUUCUCUAGUUGUGGUGAGCGGGGGCUACUCUUUGUUGCGGUGUGCAGGCUUCUUAUUGCGGGGGCUUCUCUUGUUGCAGAGCACGGGCCCUAGGUGUGCAGGCUUCAGUAGUUGUGGCUCACAGGCUCAGUAGUUGUGGGUCACGGGCUCUAGAGCACAGGCUCAGUUCCCGGACCAAGGAUUGAACCCGUGCCCCCUGCACUGGCAGGCGGAUUCUUAACCACUGCACCACCAGGGAAGGCCUGACAAAUACAUUUUCAAACCAACCCUGAGACAUUACUGCUUAAGGGAAUCCGUGAGACUAGCUGGUAGGCUAAGAAGGUGUAAUUCCAGAUGAUGCCAGCUGUACAAGGGCACAUCCCCUGCUGAGGAGGUUUGAAAGGAUCUGGAAAGCUGUGAGCGUCCUUGUGAAAUGUUGUCAGGGUUAGUUUCUAGUUUACCUUAAUGUUAUCAUAUGGGUGGUGUCACUGAGCAAAGGCGCUUCCAGCCACCUUUUCCUCAACAACUGCACUGGGCUGGGGUGCUACGUGCUCCCUGGGCUCCCUGUGGGGACUAGGGGGUGCUCACUGUGGGGUGCCCUUGGACUGCACGUGUCCUUCACCCCCACUGUGGACCUCGGACUGAGGGCUAGAGGCAGCAGCGUCCUGGGGUUUCGGUACAGCAAGCCUAGACUUUAACUUAAGUUUUGUUUAAAAGUUUCUAUAAUUCAGUAGUGGAUCACCUCAGGGCACUGGUGCUUGUGUUGGUGAGAGCUGCUGUGCCCCCCCAGAGGCAGACACCCUGGCCCGGUGUUGGGGGCCCUCGAGGCUGACCGGUCUCCUGCAGCCUGUCUCCUCUGGCCACGCUCCUUUCCUCAGCUCCUGACUCCUUAGGUUUUGCAGUUUCCGAUGGAUCAGGAACUUUCAAAAUGCCCUCUAGAGGUGUUUAAAAAAAUAUGAUGGGUUGUAAGAAACCACUGGAAAAAAGAGCAGAGCUGUGUCCCCAUGUGGGCACUGUGGCCCUUUCAGGUUCACGUUUAGGUGCAGUGGGGGUGAUGUGUCUGUGUCACAUCAGAACCAGGAGGGGACCAAGCUGUCCUGGCUCCUCCUCCCACUACAUUGAAGUUUCCUCCCAGCCACAGAUCUGGUACAGGACAUCUGAAACCCACUCGGUUUCCCUUAGUGACAGUUGUCUCUGGAAAAACAAAGGGCAUUUAGAAAGAAUAAACAUGAGGCUAAGAACAGGAUUUAAUUUUAAGCUUCCAGUUGGUGAAAAGAGACCUUCUUUGCAGGGGCCUUAGUUGAACCUUGUCUGGCUUUGAGCCCUCUGGCCCUGGUUCCCCGAGGGUUAUGGUGGCCUUUGUAAGGCCACAUGGAGACAGCAUUCGGGGUAAGAGAGGCUCGAGGGCCUUCCUGAAACUGGGUUGUAAAAGCCUUCGUGUCUCAGAGGGGAUGCUACCUGGGACUCGGCAGUGUCUGAUUUUUGAACUUGUAUCAAAAUAGAGAGAAGCCAGGUUGUAACCUACUUGCAGUCUGGUAGUCAGGAUUUUAACAUUCUCGGAGAGAGCAGUGGGGGUGGUCCAGCCCUCCCUCUUCCUUUCCUGGUGAGGGGACCCUAGGGGGCCAGCACCCAUUUCUACACUGUGCUGUGUCUAUCAAGUUAGACUCCCCUGGUCAGAGGACGGACUGGCAGUGGAGGAGCUGAGGGUCUACGUGAGUGUCUGAGGGCUGAGGUCGUGGAGAGCUGGGCCUCCUGACCCUUGCGCCCCUCCCCAGGCGGAGCAGGCACUUCUGGUGCUGCAGGGAUUCAGGUAGUUAUUUUCUGAAACUUAAAAAAAGUCCCUAUUAUUUGUUUGGUCAGGAGGCUGCUAGGAGUAUCAUGUAAUUAGUUAUUGUCUUUACAGUAAAGUAUAAGUACUGCUAAGAAUUCAGAGUUUAGUUUGUAGCACUCAUUGUUAUAACUUCAUAGAAUGUUCUGGGGAAGGCAUGUUACAUCUGUACGAGGCCAACUUUUGGUAUGUUUAGACGUUGUACUGUGUAAUCAUGGGAUAUCUGGAAACUAAAGCAGCACUGGAUAGCACCAACCAAAGGUGAAGUUCAAGUGAGCUAAGCGAGCAUCGUCCUGCACGCGUCUCCUCCGUGCAAUCGGGCUGAUGCGUAAAGACCUGUGCGGCUUCCACUGAGUUCUCCACCAUGACAGGAGGACUCAGAUGGUGUAUACAGUGGUGUGCAGCUACCCCUCGGGGGUCACAGGCCUGUGAGGACCGUCCGAUUGUCCCUGGGGUGUGCUCUGGGGGAUGGGAUUGGCUGAGAGGCCAGGGAGGUAGGGUGGACACUGCUUUGGGGCUUGGUGUUCCUGAGACACAGAGAGAAAACCCCACUGCCAAGUUCUAUGGCCCCUGGUGGGUGAGCACCCCCAGGGCGGCCUGUCUGCCUGGUGGGCGGGUGCGGCUGCCCAGAGGCCGAAUGUGGGUGCGCUUGUGCUGGUCCGCACCUCUGCAGGGGGUUGGCCAUGAAACAUACCUUCUGUCUUGGAGCAGUAGUUCUCUUUUCUCACUGUUGGUGUAACUCGCCUAGGAAAUCAUUUGGAACUGUUUAUAUUUACUUACAAAAAUAAAGUGUUUUAUUUCCUGUUGUAAAGCCCCUGUACUUUUGUGGAAAGGCUCUCUUGUAAAACUCCAACCCUAAAAGAACCCUUUCCUGUUUAACGUUAGGCACCCAAUCUUUUUAGGGUCACAGACUACUUUGAAAACAUGAUGAAAGUUGUAACUGGAUCAUCCGGUCCUAGAAUGACGGGCACAAAGCGUGUGCCCCGUGACGGGUUUACCGCCCCGCCCCAGUGAGCCCGUGGGAGCUUGGGACCAGUGUCUAGCUCCUGGAGCUGUGGGAGUGUGGCCACGGCGCUGAAAGUGGAGUGACAGGGCUGCCCCAGGCUGUGAGGACAGACGUCACGUGUAUGAGUCCUGAGGACAGUGCCUGGCAAAGAGCAAGCGCUGGGUGUCUCCAGCAGAGCCCCUCUCUGUGGAAAAUGACAGCAGCAGCAGCGGCCUGGAGGACGCCAGCCUUAACUGAGGAUGCACCGGAAGGAUGAGGAUUGUGCUGCUUGUGUGCGUCCAGAGGGCCCUGUGACAGCCAGGGGACGGUCGCGAGGCUGGAGGGCCUGGAGCCGGAGCCUGUAGCACUGACCUCGUCUUCUCCUGUGUCCACGCCCUGAGCACCGUCACGCUAAUAACCGCGCUGCCCGCCGCCAGCGCGCACUCACCUGCAAAGCCACGGCCGCGCUGGGCCCCUAGGGGACGGCCACCUGCCGCCGGUCCACCCCGGGCCGCCCGUGCCCUGAACCAGCCCGGGCUCGCGUGCCACCGCUCAUCGUGUCACUUCCCCGUGCUAUGUGUGAUCAUGUAUUUUACGGUAAAAUUUUUUAAAAUUAAAAGUUUAUACAGCUCA